rnacentral:lncRNA from 1 species
AUAGCCAUCUAGUUCUGUGGCCUACCAGUUCUCAUCCUUUGAAUUCUUAGGUUAGACGAGAAGAUACAUGAGAUCUCUAAAUCUUCAGGUUUAAACGUAGAUGUCUUUCACUACACCAGAGUAAAUAGCUUAUUCAAUAUUCAUUUUAUGAUCGUUAUUGGACUUCGGCUUCCUACUGCCUUUCAAAUAGGCCAUCGCAAGAUUUUGUCCAGUAGUAACGAGAUCAUCCAGUGACCAUGGAUAUAAAGUGACUGGAAGAGUCAUUGAGACUGAUCUGCCACAUCUCAACUGUGCACUCUGGACCAGGUUUUAAAGACAAGUUGUAUAGAGAAUCUCUUGAACCCGGGAGACAGAGGUUGCGGUGAGCCGAGAUCGUGCCAUUGCACUCCAACCUGGGCAAGAAGAGCAAAACUCUGUCUCAAAAUAAAAUAAAAUAAAAUAAAA